UACGAAGGGUGCAAACGUUGCUCGGAAUUAUUGGGCGUAAAGCGCACGUAGGCGGCUAUCUAAGUCGGAUGUGAAAUCCCUCGGCUUAACCAAGGAAGUGCACCCGAAACUGGAUAGCUUGAGUACAGAAGAGGAUCGCGGAAUUCCCGGUGUAGAGGUGAAAUUCGUAGAUAUCGGGAGGAACACCAGUGGCGAAGGCGGCGAUCUGGGCUGAUACUGACGCUGAGGCGCGAAAGCCAGGGGAGCAAACGGG
rnacentral:rRNA from 1 species